GAUGAACGCUGGCGGCGUGCCUAAUACAUGCAAGUCGAGCGAACAGACGAGAGUGCUUGCACUCUCUGACGUUAGCGGCGGACGGGUGAGUAACACGUGGGUAACCUACCUAUAAGACUGGGAUAACUUCGGGAAACCGGAGCUAAUACCGGAUAAUAUUUAGCUUCGCAUGAAGCAAUAGUGAAAGACGGUUCUGCUGUCACUUAUAGAUGGACCCGCGGUGUAUUAGCUAGUUGGUGAGGUAACGGCUCACCAAGGCAACGAUACAUAGCCGACCUGAGAGGGUGAUCGGCCACACUAGGACUGAGACACGGCCCAGACUCCUACGGGAGGCAGCAGUAGGGAAUCUUCCGCAAAGGACGAAAGUCUGACGGAGCAAUGCCGCGUGAGUGAAGAAGGUUUUCGGAUCGUAAAACUCUGUUGUAAGGGAAGAACAAGUACGUUAGUAACUGAACGUACCUUGACGGUACCUUACCAGAAAGCCACGGCUAACUACGUG
rnacentral:rRNA from 1 species